rnacentral:rRNA from 1 species
GACAGAGGCCCCAAGCGUUAGGCGGAAUCACUGGGCCUAAAGCGUGUGUAGGCGGACUUCUAAGUGCCUUGUGAAAUCCCACGGCUCAACCGUGGAACUGCUGGGCAUACUGGGAGUCUUGGGCCAUUCAGGGGCAACUGGAACAAGCGGUGGAGCGGUGAAAUGCGUAGAUAUCGCUUGGAACGCCGAAGGUGAAAACAGGUUGCUGGGGAUGUGCCGACGCUGAGACACGAAAGCCAGGGGAGCAAACGGG